GGGAAUAAAUUUUUGGAUGUAAUUGAUUAUCCCCAGAAACUGUUGAAAUUGUUUGACUGUGAGGUCCUUGUCAGAAAAUUUCAAUAAUUUUUCUGCAAUGUGGGGCCCUGGUUGAUAUUUUUCAUCUCGGAACUGCAUUCCAAGAAAAUCAAUAUUUGUCUGAGCCAAAGAGCUUUUCUUUUCUGACAACACGAUUCCAUAAGUGUGGA
rnacentral:misc_RNA from 1 species